GGGGACAUGGUCUAACGGUAUGACUCCUGACAAUAAAAGGCACCUCCGCUCGAACUCUGGCUGCAAAGUCCUGAUGUAGGAUAGUGUGAAGAGAUAAGUGUCUGAGCCGAACAGGAAGAUCUGGGUUCAAAUCCCAGUGCCCCCA
rnacentral:tRNA from 1 species